UGUGAUGACCAUAAAGAAUGUGCAUGUGUGUAUAGCUUUGUGCACAUACACUUCUCUAUAUGAAUAUGCAUAUACACGCAUGCACACACACUCACUCACAGGAAUGGCCAGAGCUAUGUCUCAGUUA
ensembl:miRNA Gm22091 predicted gene, 22091